rnacentral:lncRNA from 1 species
UGGGCACAUGGCUUUGCUUAGUGUCAGUCCUUUUACGGAUAGGUAUACUUAAUGGUUUACAUUUUGACAUGUUAAACCUCUUGAGUAUCUUCUUUAGAUACUUUUCUUUAUCCAAAUAUAAUAACUUAGAAUAUUUAUAAUGGGAGAUUCUUAUUCCUAGGACAAAGAUGGUCUCACUCAUGUCUUUCAUUUCAAAUUUGGAU